rnacentral:rRNA from 1 species
AACGAACGCUGGCGGCAUGCCUAACACAUGCAAGUCGAACGAGACCUUCGGGUCUAGUGGCGCACGGGUGCGUAACGCGUGGGAACCUGCCCUUAGGUUCGGAAUCACUCCCCGAAAGGGGUGCUAAUACCGGUUAAUGUCUUCGGACCAAAGAUUUAUCGCCUUUGGAUGGGCCCGCGUUGGAUUAGCUAGUUGGUAGGGUAAAAGCCUGCCAAGGCGACGAUCCAUAGCUGGUCUGAGAGGAGGAUCAGCCACACUGGGACUGAGACACGGCCCAGACUCCUACGGGAGGCAGCAGUGGGGAAUAUUGGACGAUGGGCGAAAGCCUGAUCCAGCAGUGCCGCGUGAGUGAUGAAGGCCUUAGGGUUGUAAAGCUCUUUUAGCCGGGAUGAUAAUGACAGUACCGGGAGAAUAAGCACCGGCUAACUCCGUG